AUGAUACCGAACGGAGAAGACUGUUCUUCUCCAUCUCCAGACUGUUUACUUAGCCAUGAAUCCUUUUCUACUUUUGUCUCUUUCAAUAUCUCCGUCUCUACAAGAAGGAGGCUUGUCUCAUUGAGUGUUGCAAAAAAAAAUUGUGAAUUUGGAGAGAAAACCAGAGAGUCUUGCAUAUUCAGAGAUGUUGAUCGAAAGAAAAACAAUGAUGAUUGUUGA